UGGGGAAUAUUGGACAAUGGGGGGAACCCUGAUCCAGCCAUGCCGCGUGUGUGAAGAAGGCCUUUUGGUUGUAAAGCACUUUAAGCGAGGAGGAGGCUACCGAGAUUAAUACUCUUGGAUAGUGGACGUUACUCGCAGAAUAAGCACCGGCUAACUCUGUGCCAGCAGCCGCGGUAAUACAGAGGGUGCGAGCGUUAAUCGGAUUUACUGGGCGUAAAGCGUGCGUAGGCGGCUUUUUAAGUCGGAUGUGAAAUCCCCGAGCUUAACUUGGGAAUUGCAUUCGAUACUGGGAAGCUAGAGUAUGGGAGAGGAUGGUAGAAUUCCAGGUGUAGCGGUGAAAUGCGUAGAGAUCUGGAGGAAUACCGAUGGCGAAGGCAGCCAUCUGGCCUAAUACUGACGCUG
rnacentral:rRNA from 1 species